CAUUCUGCAACCCGUAGAUAAUUACAGCAAUCCCAACCUCUUCAAGCUGUCUCGGGGCUUAACUGUGACUGCACGAAGGAAAAUGAUGGAAAACUUCUAAACUUUACUACAAAUAUCCACCAUAGCAAAAGAAGGUGGGUGCACUGCUGCUACAGCUCAGUAAUCGGAAGUAGGAGUCAAUCUUAUCUGUCCAGAACUUAACUCUCCCUGGUAGCCCUCACCUGCCCUCACGCAGCCUGAAAGCUGAGGGACACAGCAGGAAAAGAAAGUGACCCUAAGAAGCGGGGAUGAAAUGAGAUGCCAAAGAAGGGAGGAGAGUGGAAACAGGGAGGGCUGGGGCGGGACUGUUUAAUGUUCAAAAUCAGUGCCAAGCUAAAUUGGAAACAUGAGUCUGCCUACCUGGAACUUACCUCAUCCGUAUAUAAUUUGUAACCUGAGAUCCCCUCGCAGUGAAGUAAAAAUAGCAAGGCUCUCUGGCAGGUCUGUUCUCUGCACAGUGGAAGGUCAGAAUGGGGAAGGUAGGACUUGGGGAGAGCCAGAAAGCUGGGCCACAGAAUGCCCAUCAUGUGGCUUUGGCAGGGAUACCUUCUCCCCUGUCUCCUGCGAUGACACAGAAAAUACAUCCGAGGAAGUGGUUUCAGGAUUCCCCUGGGAAAAGCGGGAAGAACAGCAGCAUGAAGGCCGACCAUGUGCUGGAGGAGCCAAGAGUUCUACAACUUCAUCAAAAACACAAAGAUAUUGAAAGUAUAUUUGUGCAAAGACAAAACAGUAAAUGAUGAGAUUCCAAGCCUCUCCAACUCUCUUGCUCUUCUAUUAAUUCUCGGACUUUCUCAUCACUAUCUAAAGAAAAGUCAAGUUGAAGGAGUUAUGUAGUCUCCCCUCCCCCAGCCUGAAACCUGCUUGCUCAGGGGUGGAGCUUCCUGCUCAUUCAUUCUGCCAUGCCCACUGCUGGAACCUGCGGAGCCACACACGUGCACCUUUCUACUGGACCAGAGAUUAUUCGGCGGGAAUCGGGUCCCCUCCCCCUUCCUUCAUAACUGAGUGUCACAACAGUAAAAUUUGAGCUUUGAUCAGAGUA
rnacentral:lncRNA from 1 species